rnacentral:lncRNA from 1 species
CCUCUAGGGUCAGAAUGCAUGCAUAUGGACUCCUCCUGCCUGGGGACUCCUCCUCUGGUUAUCAGGAGGCAACAAUUCUGUCAGUUGGUGUUGGAUGCUAUUACACCCCUAAGACUCUUGCUAUUCCUCCUCGACCAGGUUCCUGACAUCUUUUAUCUAGCAAAGCCCUUGAGAGCUGGCAGCUCACUUCUCUGGAGUCAGCCCUCUCCCAUAUACCAGGCAGGUCUGAGGAAAGUUUGUGACAAAGGAAAAGCUUCUACCACUUAAGUCUAUAAGCUCCAAAGCUACAGCUGAGGACAACUCUGC